rnacentral:lncRNA from 1 species
AAGUUUGGUUGUUUUCUCCAGCCUGAUUGGAGGUUUCCGAAUGUGGAUUGUUCUGUUGGCGUUGACCCCAUUGCACAAAAUCUACAUAUUCGAUCCUCAGUGUGAGAAUUGGACAGUUGACAGUAUUGUGGUCUGCUCCAAAUUUUUCACAGCUUGGCUUCUUGACUUGUUUUGCAUUGGCGGUUUGUGAAAUGCUCUGAACCUUAUGGAACAAGGAGUCUAUCUUUGCGGAUAAUGCUAAGUAAGUAUCUACUUCAUAAACCCCCGACGUUCUCUUCUGAACCAUUGGAUCUGUAGACCACAUGGCUGAAGUUGUAGCCAUUCUCUCAAACAAUUCCCAUGCUCUGUCAAUUGUUCUCGUGGAGAUUGACCCGUCGGAUGAUAAAUCCACCAUGCUCUUGAAGGAUGGAAGUAAUCCAGUGUAGAAAAAUCAGAUUUGUGUCUUUUUAUCAAAGCCAUGCUGAGGACACUUCCUUAACAUAUUUUUGAAGUAAUUUUAGGCCUCUUCAAAUGAUUCGGACUCGCCUUGUUUGAAUAUAGAUAUGUGUAUGUGGAUUCUCAUUAGCCAUCUCGUGGUAUUGAUGUCCAUUCUGAAAUAGUUGAAUUACAUUUGUUUUCAGCUGGAAGUUCGGUUGCCCAAAUGGAGGAUACACAAUGCUAGAUUGACUCUGAACCACCAACGGUGCCAUGAAGUCCCCAAGCACCAUAUUUCCUUCAUCUUCAACCCCCACGCCUUCGUUGAGUUGAAUUAUCGGACGAUUUUGCUCGUUACCCAUCUGUUGUUGCUGUUUUUAAUCUUUUUGAAUUUGUUGUGCUGCUCUUGCUUCUCUUUGCCUGUGACGAAAUGUGCGUUCGAUCUCUGGAUCAAUAGGAACCAAAUCUCGAUCAAGUGCUCUUUGCAUACAAGCCCUGAGAUAGUAAAAAUAGCACAAAAUUAAAUUAAAGUAAACAAUAAACUAAGUCUAGUAAGCUAACUACUACUAAUCUAGGUAAGUUCGAAUUAGUGUCACAAUAGAUAAAAUUAAACUAAAUUUCAAUCUCCGACAACGGCGCCAAAAACUUGUUCACGAAAUUUAUUUAUUUCGAUUUAAAACCUACCGCAAGUGUACGGUUCGUUAACAAGUAGUAGAACAGAUUAUGAGUCCAAGUAUCGAUCCCACAAGAAUUGAAUUAGUUUAAAUCAAUCUAUUAUGACCUUAACCGAAACACGAAAGUAAGAUGCAUGUAUUGUGAUUUAACUAAGGAAGAUGUGAACUAUGAUGCAAUUAUGAGAAAGAAACUUAUACUAAAUGCAAAAUGACCUGAAUGCAAUCUAUAAGAAUUUAUGGAAUUAAUGAAUUACUAAAGCACUAGGAUCACGAAUUCCCAAGCAACACCCGUUCAAAUUUUAAUUAUGCAAAUUUGACACACAUUCCCACAAUUAAUGAAUCAAUAUUCCUAUCUUAAUUUAGCAAUCUCUCUCGAGCAAUGCCAAACCUAUCCCAAUAAGUGAUUCGACUAUAUCUCUAUGACGAAUAUUAGCAUACAGGAAUGCAUUAUGAUUUCAUGAAUACUCAACAAUUCACACGAGGCAUAGAGGUAUAUUUCUAUUUCCUAUCGUACCAUGUGAUGAUACCAUGUCGAGCCUAUUUUUCUUCUUUCGAAUGCAGAAAACAGGCCACCAAGAUCAUAUAAUUACGUGCACAAUAAUAAUAUGAAAAUAAAAACGUAUAAAUCAUUCAAUUCCAAAACAUGUGCUUAAAUAUGUCAAAUCUCCAAAUCAAAAAUCAAAAAUAGUAUUGCAAGGUUCAUCGAUCUCUUAGUCCAUGAAAAAUCUAGCCUAACAUACUAAAAAGAAGAAAAUAAAAAAAUAGUUGAAGAAACGUUAUCACCCGAAUCAAGUUUCAAUCAAUUCUUCAAUUGGUGCAAUGUUUUCCUCUUGUUCUCUCUUCGUUUUCUCCUUCAAAAUCUCUCUUUUUCUUCUAAAAAUGGCAUCCCCUUCGUUCUGGUCGAGUUUUUGUUUAUAUAGGACCCUAAAAAUCUUGUUUCCAUAAGAGUUUCAGCGAAAUAAGGAAACUGCAGAUUCGACCUCCGAAUUGCUCUAUGCGACCGCAUAGUACAUUUCUAUGUGGUCGCAUAGAGUAAAAUUUUUUGAGAAUUUAUUCUCGGGUGGUCUCUAUGCAGCCGCAUAGAGGGACCGCACUAUGCUACCAACUAUGCGAAAAAAUCCAUUUUGGUCCUUGAACUUUCAUUCUUCUUCAUUUUAGUCCCUUUGCAAUUCCUUCUUCUUCCAAUCAUCUUGUAUCGCGUUCGAAUUCAUACUUAGCAUGUUCGCAUUCCCAGGUUGCUUUUUAGUUCAACUUUGAAUAUUUGCGUCCUUAGUCCCUCAACUAUCACUUUGCUCCAUUUUAGUCAUUUUUCGACUCUUUUCUCCUGAAUUUCACCAUUUCCAUAUAAACACCUACAUUGCAUGAAUUCAACGAGAUUAAGUCACAAUUUAAACAAUUUACUUGUAAUUAAGUCAUGUUUGUGAUCUAAAUAAGUGUGCAAAAACACAUUUAUUAUCACUCUAUUAUGAUUUUUUUUUGUCUCCUAUUAAAA